UACGGAGGGUGCAAGCGUUGUCCGGAAUCACUGGGCGUAAAGGGCGCGUAGGCGGCUCAUGAAGGCUGUGGUGAAAGUCCGGGCUCAACCUCGGAUCGGCCGUGGCGACUCGUGGGCUGGAGCACUGUAGAGGCGGGUGGAAUUCCGGGUGUAGCGGUGGAAUGCGUAGAGAUCCGGAAGAACACCAGUGGCGAAGGCGGCCCGCUGGCAGUGGCUGACGCUGAGGCGCGACAGCGUGGGAGCAAACGAGG
rnacentral:rRNA from 1 species